rnacentral:rRNA from 1 species
GGGCAGGACGGCAUGCAUAACAUGCAGUCGAACGGCAGCACGGGUGCUUGCACCUGGUGGCGAGUGGCGAACGGGUGAGUAAUACAUCGGAACAUGUCCUGUAGUGGGGGAUAGCCCGGCGAAAGCCGGAUUAAUACCGCAUACGAUCUACGGAAGAAAGCGGGGGACCUUCGGGCCUCGCGCUAUAGGGUUGGCCGAUGGCUGAUUAGCUAGUUGGUGGGGUAAAGGCCUACCAAGGCGACGAUCAGUAGCUGGUCUGAGAGGACGACCAGCCACACUGGGACUGAGACACGGCCCAGACUCCUACGGGAGGCAGCAGUGGGGAAUUUUGGACAAUGGGCGAAAGCCUGAUCCAGCAAUGCCGCGUGUGUGAAGAAGGCCUUCGGGUUGUAAAGCACUUUUGUCCGGAAAGAAAUCCUGAGGGCUAAUAUCCUUCGGGGAUGACGGUACCGGAAGAAUAAGCACCGGCUAACUACGUGCCAGCAGCCGCGGUAAUACGUAGGGUGCGAGCGUUAAUCGGAAUUACUGGGCGUAAAGCGUGCGCAGGCGGUUUGCUAAGACCGAUGUGAAAUCCCCGGGCUCAACCUGGGAACUGCAUUGGUGACUGGCAGGCUAGAGUAUGGCAGAGGGGGGUAGAAUUCCACGUGUAGCAGUGAAAUGCGUAGAGAUGUGGAGGAAUACCGAUGGCGAAGGCAGCCCCCUGGGCCAAUACUGACGCUCAUGCACGAAAGCGUGGGGAGCAAACAGGUA